ensembl:lncRNA
CGCGGCCCGGCCUGGAUCCGGGGCCGCCGCGGAGUCGGCAGCGCAGGGCGGGGCGGCCCGGAUUUAAAGGGGCCGCAUCACCCGCUGCCGCCACCAGCACCGCGAGGGGGCGGGGUGGGGUAUGGGCUCCCGGGAUCCCGCCCGCGCGGCCCGGGACGGUGGACCCCGCACGAGCUCGGGCGGCCUCGGCUUCGGGCCGCCUCGGGUAGGUCGAGGCCGGGGCCAUCGCCAGCGCGGGUCGGCUGCGGUGGAGGUGGCGCUCCGUGGGGCCCCGGAUCCCCCGGACCGCCGCCCCCUCGCUUGUUCACUUCUCCAUUAGGAUCCACCUCCCCUCCCCACCUCAGACCCGGACCCCACGCCCCCUUCAGCCCGGGACCCUCAAGCCGGUGGCAGGGGGCGAGGUGCGGCUGGAGCUGGCGGUGCCUGGAGUUGGGGGGCCGCUGCCUGCACCGACGCCCCCGGGCGCUUCUCCUUCCAGGACCUUUCUCUAGUCGGCGGGAUGCAGGCGUGGUGGGGGCCCCGGAGGCGCUCCUGCUCCGCAGAGUACGAACAAUGGGCCGUUUUGAGGAGCAAAAGAGCCGCAGCCCCGGUCCACACCUGGGGGCAGGAUGUGCUCCCGGGAGCCCGGUAGGGUCUGGGCGGGAGCCUCUGCAGAGGCCUUUAUGCCGGGAGCAGGUGAGGCAGGGCCCCUGGCUGCGGCGGGACUUCAUCCUGGGGCCUGAUGAAAUGACUGGCCACGGUUUUCCCGCAGACCUGAUUUAACACUGACACAGGUACUGCUCUCUCGACUUGUAAUGAACUUUAUUUAUUUUUUAAAAAGAUUUAUUUUAGAGAGGGGAAGGAAGGGGCAGAGGGAGAGAGAGUUUCAAGCAGACUCCACGCUGAGUGCGGAGCCCGUUGUCGCUGGGCCCCAUCCCAGGACCCUGAGAUCAUGACCUGAGCCCAAACCAAGAGACGGUCACUUGACGGACUGAGCCACCGAGGUGGCCCCCAGUGAACUUUAUGAACUGACACCAGCCUUCUUGGAGUCUUCUGAAGGAAACUGUCUUGUUUCCUCCCUGUGUUUUCACAGGGCAUCAGCUGUUCGUGGCAAGGGAUAAUGGUUUUUCAUCUGGACUGUGAUACAGAGGGCUUUAAAAUUUUCUAAAUGUGUAUUUAAGUUUAAAAGUGAGUUGGUUUAAGGAAAUGUAUUAAACCAGUAAAAAUGAAAGUCAUGGCCUGUCUGUGAUGAAAGUUUGGGGAACUCAUCUGAGUCCCCUCCCACCACCGACACUCUGGCUUUGGGGAGAAGGAACCGGAAUUAGGGAGGCUUCAGGGAUGGGGGCAGAAUCCUGGGGAUUGCAGGGCCUCUAUCAGGAAUGGGACUAUCCACCCGCGCCUGGGUGGCUCAGUUGGUUAAGCAUCUGCCUUCGGCUCAGGUCAUGAUCCCCAGGGUCCUGGGAUCAAGCUCCACAUCGGGCUCCCUGCUUGGCAGGAAGCCUGCUUCUCCCUCUCCCACUCCCCCUACUUGUGUUCCCUCUCUUGGUGUCUCUCUCUGUCAAAUAAAUAAAUAAAAUCUUAAAAAAAAU